rnacentral:rRNA from 1 species
ACUCGCCUACAUGAAGCUGGAGUUACUAGUAAUCGCAGAUCAGAAUGCUGCGGUGAAUGCGUUCCCGGGUCUUGUACACACCGCCCGUCACACCACGGGAGUUGGAGACGCCCGAAGCCGACUAUCUAACCUUUUGGAAGAAGUCGUCGAAGGUGGAAUCAAUAACUGGGGUGAAGUCGUAACAAGGUAGCCGUAUCGGAAGGUGCGGCUGGAUCACCUCCUUUCUAAGGAGA